rnacentral:rRNA from 1 species
AACGAACGCUGGCGGCAUGCCUAACACAUGCAAGUCGAACGAGACCUUCGGGUCUAGUGGCGCACGGGUGCGUAACGCGUGGGAACCUGCCCUUAGGUUCGGAAUAACUCCCCGAAAGGUGUGCUAAUACCGGUUAAUGUCUUCGGACCAAAGAUUUAUCGCCUUUGGAUGGGCCCGCGUUGGAUUAGCUAGUUGGUAGGGUAAAAGCCUACCAAGGCGACGAUCCAUAGCUGGUCUGAGAGGAUGAUCAGCCACACUGGGACUGAGACACGGCCCAGACUCCUACGGGGAGCAGCAGUGGGGAAUAUUGGACAAUGGGCGAAAGCCUGAUCCAGCAAUGCCGCGUGAGUGAUGAAGGCCUUAGGGUUGUAAAGCUCUUUUACCCGGGAUGAUAAUGACAGUACCGGGAGAAUAAGCUCCGGCUAACUCCGUG